CACUCCUGCGGGAGCAGCAGUGGGGAAUUUUGGACAAUGGGCGAAAGCCUGAUCCAGCAAUGCCGCGUGAGUGAAGAAGGCCUUCGGGUUGUAAAGCUCUUUUGUCAGGGAAGAAACGGUGAAAGCUAAUAUCUUUUGCUAAUGACGGUACCUGAAGAAUAAGCACCGGCUAACUACGUGCCAGCAGCCGCGGUAAUACGUAGGGUGCAAGCGUUAAUCGGAAUUACUGGGCGUAAAGCGUGCGCAGGCGGUUUUGUAAGUCUGAUGUGAAAUCCCCGGGCUCAACCUGGGAAUUGCAUUGGAGACUGCAAGGCUAGAAUCUGGCAGAGGGGGGUAGAAUUCCACGUGUAGCAGUGAAAUGCGUAGAUAUGUGGAGGAACACCGAUGGCGAAGGCAGCCCCCUGGGUCAAGAUUGACGCUCAUGCACGAAAGCGUGGGGAGCAAACAGGAUUAGAUACCCCUGUAGUCCCAUGAU
rnacentral:rRNA from 1 species